rnacentral:rRNA from 1 species
GNAGAGGAAAGUGGAAUUCCUAGUGUAGCGGUGAAAUGCGUAGAUAUUAGGAAGAACACCAGUGGCGAAGGCGACUUUCUGGACGAAAACUGACGCUGAGGCGCGAAAGCCAGNGGAGCGAACGGGAUUAGAUACCCCGGUAGUCCUGNCCGUAAACGAUGGGUACUAGGUGUAGGAGGUAUCGACCCCUUCUGUGCCGGAGUUAACGCAAUAAGUACCCCGCCUGGGGAGUACGACCGCAAGGUUGAAACUCAAAGGAAUUGACGGGGGCCCGCACAAGCGGUGGAGUAUGUGGUUUAAUUCGACGCAACGCGAAGAACCUUACCAGGUCUUGACAUUGAUGGACAGAACUAGAGAUAGUUCCUCUUCUUCGGAAGCCAGAAAACAGGUGGUGCACGGUUGUCGUCAGCUCGUGUCGUGAGAUGUUGGGUUAAGUCCCGCAACGAGCGCAACCCCUAUCUUAUGUUGCCAGCACUUUGGGUGGGAACUCAUGAGAGACUGCCGCAGACAAUGCGGAGGAAGGCGGGGAUGACGUCAAAUCAUCAUGCCCCUUAUGACCUGGGCUACACACGUACUACAAUGGGAGUUAAUAGACGGAAGCGAGAUCGCGAGAUGGAGCAAACCCGAGAAACACUCUCUCAGUUCGGGUCGUAGGCUGCAACUCGCCUACGUGAAGUCGGAAUCGCUAGUAAUCGCAGGUCAGCAUACUGCGGUGAAUACGUUCCCGGGCCUUGUACAC